AUACUUACUUGGCAGGGGAGAUACCAUGAUCACGAAGGUGGUUUUCCCAGGGCGAGGCUUAUCCAUUGCACUCCGGAUGUGCUGACCCCUGCGAUUUCCCCAAAUGUGGGAAGCUCAACUGCAUAAUUUGUGGUAGUUAGGGAAUGCAUUCACGAUUUCCCCUGA
rnacentral:snRNA from 1 species